AUGGUUAGGAAUGCUCUCAGUAAUCUCACACUCAGGAAUGCACUUCACAGUGUGCACAUGCAGGGCAGGCCUCAGGACACAGUCACCCCUACAGGCUGUGAGGGCGUGGCCCAUCUUCAGCUGGUGACAGCACCUUUGAGGACAGGAGCAGCUCGAGGCGCUGGAGCUGGAUGUUUGAGCCGCUUUCACGUCAUCACUUCUUCUCCAGACCCGGAUCUUCUGUAUCAGGGCUGGAUCUCAGUCAGCUCAGUCAGCUCAGCACUCACACAAACUGACAUUUGCCCACUUUCAGGAAGGGGAGGGAGGCAGCGCCAGAUUUCUCGUUUUGUCCAUUGCCACCACAGACACACACACACUCUCAUCCAGGCAGCCACAGGGAGGAGGCAAACCAGGCUGAGCCGCGCCGUGUCAAACUCUGAACAACACAACAGGUUACUGUCCAGGAUGGCUGGAAAGGAGCAGCAGAUCACGGAGGAGAAGCCGCUGCUGCCUGAAAAGACAGGCGUGGACUCAGAGACGCAGGAUAAAGGAGAGGAGGCAUCAGGGGGCCCCCCCUGCCCUGCCAGCACCGAGCCCCCUAACGAACCCCCUCCCCCCCGCCGCCCCACUCACCGCUGGCAUGCCAUCGCGCGGCACUGGCUCCGCCAGACCCGCCGUCGGACCAGUGGGGUUAUCCCGGUAACUACCAGAGCAAGCAGAAACAGACACACCCAACAAAUGUGACGGUUAGAAUCCAAUGACCACAUCAGAAACCACAUUAUUUAUUUAAAAAAUCAUUUUUGAAAAUUACUUUUUAUUCAGAACCCUUUUCUUAUUCAUUUAUGAUUAUUCCCUCAAAAACAUAAAAAACAUCUGAUCUACAAGUUUAUGUGAAUAUUUUGAAAUAUAUACUUGAUUUAUUUAGCUUUUUUUCAAUAGGUAAUUUUCAUAAAACCCUCACUGGAUCAAAGAUAAACACAAAUGCAAAAUGUAACAUUCCAACAUGAACAAAUUUAUACAUUAAUUUAAGGAAUUAGAACAAAACACACACACAUACUGAAAACACACAGAAAACACAAAGACCCACAUUCAUGGAAACAAAGCACAGACACACAAAUUAAACACACACAGACACAAAAAACACAGCCACCCAUCUUUGGACCAAGAAAAAGGUCAACCCUAGAUGGGGAGGUUCCAUGCAAAGAUUGGGGAAUAGUGCCACCUGCUGGUGAAACCAAAGCACUGCCAUCAGUGACACAGCUCCCCCUGCUGACCUUUUGUUGCACACUUCACAGGAUGUCCCGCCCCCUAACGGUGGGAGUUCAGAACAGACUCAGCCAUCCUCAGACCCUGUUUCUGUGCUGUGUCUUUCAUCCAUCCAUCUGUUCUACGUUCCAUUCUGUGUGUUUAUUUUUCGUUUAAUAUCAGAGUUUCUCUUCAGAACUGAGUGUUGUUCAUGUGUGACAGGAUGUAACACCAUCUGUCUUCCUACUGUCGUUUUCUGCUCCGGCCUCAGAAAGGCAACCAGUUCAGACAAUUCUCAGAAGUGCAUUUUAAAAUAGUUUUUAAAACAUGUUGUUUUGAAUGCAUCAUUUUAUUUCACAUCCGUGUUUUUGUGGACACUAAGAAUCCUGUUUCAUUGCAGUGGCUCUUAUUUUGAAGGACAGGUUUGCAUCUUUCCGAUUAAGCUAAAAUAUUCCUAUAGUAAAGAAAAAAAUCAUUGAAUCUCAGAUCUGGCAGGAUGCCCUUUUAAAAGUAUUAAGUAUGAGACAAAUAAAGUGAAAAUUCUGUCAUUAUAAAUGUGAUUUUGUGUCAAUAUCUGCUUUUUCUUUCUUUCUUUGUGUUGAUUUUCACUCCAGCUUUUGCGUUUGUCAAUCAACGUCUAAGAGUUGCAAAACUACCAAUAACGUUAUGGUUUUAAGGAUGAUGUAAACUAAAUAAUUAGGGGCAAAAGUAACGGGUUUCAUUUCCAUAUAUAGCUUGGCUUAAAGGAUAUGAUCAGGGAAAAGGAGUUGAACCCCCCAUCUAAUAGCUGAAGAAAGGCUGAACACGAAUGUCGAGGACGCG
ensembl:lncRNA